rnacentral:rRNA from 1 species
UACGGAGGGGGCGAGCGUUGUCCGAAGUUACUGGGCGUAAAGCGCGCGUAGGCGGGUUGGUAAGUCCGCUGUGAAAGCCCGGAGCUCAACUCCGGAGGGUCGGUGGAUACUGCCAGUCUUGAAGGUGCUAGGGGGAGAUGGAAUUACCGGUGUAGCGGUGAAAUGCGUAGAGAUCGGUAGGAACACCAGUGGCGAAGGCGGUCUCCUGGGGGCAUUCUUGACGCUGAGGCGCGAAAGCUGGGGGGAGCGAACGGGG